GACGUAGGGCGCGAGCGUUGUCCGGAUUUAUUGGGCGUAAAGAGCUCGUAGGCGGCUUGUCGCGUCGUCCGUGAAAACUUGGGGCUCAACCCCAAGCUUGCGGUCGAUACGGGCAGGCUAGAGUUCGGUAGGGGAGACUGGAAUUCCUGGUGUAGCCGUGAAAUGCGCAGAUAUCAGGAGGAACACCGGUGGCGAAGGCGGGUCUCUGGGCCGAUACUGACGCUGAGGAGCGAAAGCGUGGGGAGCGAACAGG
rnacentral:rRNA from 1 species